rnacentral:rRNA from 1 species
UUAUAAGAGACAGCAGCAGCCACGGUAAUACGAAGGGGGCUAGCGUUGUUCGGAUUUACUGGGCGUAAAGCGCACGUAGGCGGACUUUUAAGUCAGGGGUGAAAUCCCGGGGCUCAACCCCGGAACUGCCUUUGAUACUGGGAGUCUUGAGUUCGAGAGAGGUGAGUGGAAUUGCGAGUGUAGAGGUGAAAUUCGUAGAUAUUCGCAGGAACACCAGUGGCGAAGGCGGCUCACUGGCUCGAUACUGACGCUGAGGUGCGAAAGCGUGGGGAGCAAACAGGAUUAGAUAUCCCAGUAGUCCCUGUCUCUUAUAC